rnacentral:rRNA from 1 species
UACGUAGGGGCCGAGCGUUGUCCGGAGUUAUUGGGCGUAAAGCGCGCGCAGGCGGCCUCGCGCGCCCGACGUGAAAGCCCCCGGCUUAACCGGGGAGGGUCGUUGGGGACGGCGGGGCUUGAGGGCGGGAGAGGUCGGUGGAAUUCCACGUGUAGCAGUGAAAUGCGUAGAGAUGUGGAGGAACACCGAUGGCGAAGGCAGCCCCCUGGGUUAACACUGACGCUCAGGCACGAAAGCGUGGGGAGCAAACAGG